rnacentral:tRNA from 1 species
GGGCGGAUGGCAGAGCGGUUGAAUGCACUGGUCUUGAAAACCAGCAAGGGUGCAAGCCCUUCGAGGGUUCGAAUCCCUCUCCGCCCGCCA